UUUAGACGCUGGAAAGCCAGGCAAGGGCUUCAGGAUUGGAGGAGUUGAGCAGCCUUCCCAGGGCCUGCACAAUGGGAUCCCCAGCAGAGCUAUAGAAGAAGUCUUGUACCCUUCCUCAGGCAACAUCUGCUAUAUGAAGCCCCAAAAGGUCCCAGGCAACUCGAGACCUGCCCCUUCUAAAGAUCCUCGCGGCUUGCGUGUCCUGGAAAAUCUCCCAAUGGCUGGAGGCAGGUGGAAACAAGCUGCAUGAAGUCCGUUCCUUGGCACUGCCCAUUGUGAGGACAGCUAAUUCCACGCCACGAGGCUGCUUCCAGAUGCUCUCCACUUCUCUGCUCCAAGGGCUAGAACUGCUGGUGUGUGCCGUCAUGCUGGGCCUUGUGUAUCUCAUGGCAAACCACAGAGCUUGGUUACAGACACACAGACCAUGACUAACGCAGCUCCAGUCACCUACCCCAUACCCUAAGUCGCAUGCUGCUCUGCCCUCACCACCCUCUGGAGACCAGGCUGCUAACACAGGCGUCUUUGGGAGGCGGUCCACAGCCCAGCGAUUUUCCCUGGAAGAUUAGAGGCGAACUGAAAUCUUAGAGGGGCAGAGGGUAGGCUCAGAACUAGGGAGAAGAGAAACGUGCCAGGUCCUCCCUAAGGUCAGUCCAAAAGCGCACCACUGCCAGUUCCUCCAGCCCUCCACAUUGCCCCAGCAUUUCCUCCGAUCUC